rnacentral:tRNA from 1 species
GCCUGGGUGGCUCAGUCGGUUAAGCGUCUGCCUUUGGCUCAGGUCACGAUCUCAGGGUCGUGGGAUCAAGUCCCGCAUCAGGCU